rnacentral:rRNA from 1 species
GAUGAACGCUGGCGGCGUGCUUAACACAUGCAAGUCGAACGGAAAGGCCCAAGCUUGCUUGGGUACUCGAGUGGCGAACGGGUGAGUAACAAGUGGGUGAUCUGCCCUGCACUUCGGGAUAAUCCUGGGAAACUGGGUCUAAUACCGGAUAGUACCACUUCUUGGAUGUUGUGGUGGAAAGUUUUUUCGGUGUGGGAUGAGCUCGCGGCCUAUCAUCUUGUUGGUGGGGUAAUGGCCUACCAAGUCGUCGACGGGUAGCCGGCCUGAGAGGGUGUACGGCCACAUUGGGACUGAGAUACGGACCAGACUCCGACGGGAGGAAGAAGUGGGGAAUAUUGAACAAUGGGCGCAAGCCUGAUGCAGCGACGCCGAGUGGGGGAUGACGGCCUUCGGGUUGUAAAAUACUUUCGCUAGGGACGAAGCGUUUUGUGACGGUACCUGGAGAAGAAGCACCGGCUAACUACGUG